CUAGAUUCUUUCAUACAUAGGACCUGAAUAGGUCUAUAGCGUCUUUUUUGUGGUAAUAAGGAUCAUAAUCUUUGGUGAUAAACAACAACAAUAACAUUUACAAAAAAAAAAAGUAGUAAUAUAUUAUCAAGGGUACAGUUGGAGAGACAUAAGCAUUUCUCUGGCAUUGAAUUCCCAAACCAAUUUAAAUUUUAGGUACUGACUGCCAGACUGACAAAUCAUGUCUAUAUUUCCAUCAAUGAACUGUUGCGUUCUCUUAUAUGCAGGAGGAAGCUUUCCAUGUAUGCUUCUGUUACAAAUAUUAUACCAAACCUGGAUGAUCAGUAAGGAAUCUUGGCUAUGUUGUGGAUAGAUAUACGAAAGUGGUACAAAACUUUGAAUUUGAUGCUGAGAAGAUGACUGCCUAUGAAACAUGUAAUAGCAUUUGGAAGAUGAUAACUUCAUUAGAUAUUUCACAUUUCCCCCUGAGAUAGCUUUGUAUAGUGUCAUGCAAUAUUGUUUUUUUUUUAUUCGUCUGUGUUUCUGGAGAAGUAAUCUGUUGACAGUUUGUAAUUUAGAAUUGUAACAUACACGUUUAAAGCUUAUUAUUGAGAAUCUUGUUGGUGCCAUUUUAAAG